GGGGAUGUACUGGUUUCGACAGGGAUGAAGAUCUAAUGUAAGCGAGCCGUGGUUCUUGAUCUGGGGUACACGUAAAAAAACUGGAUCAAAAAUAUAAACGCAAACAAUAAUUACGCACUAGCUGCCUAAUGGCAGUGUCACCCCAAAGCCUUAUCUCAGCCGCUUUGGAUGCUGACCAAAACCCUGCUGAGGUCCCCAUCAAAGAUGCUUUUCUAAUCUAAAUUGGCGGUACAAUAGAAAUAGCCCACGCUCCAGAGUGUCGAUACUCGGGAGACACGGCGAAACCUAAAUUAUCGACUGCGCUCGGAGAAAGUGUUAGUGAAUUGUUUUUGGACGAGGGUUCGACUCCCUCCAUCUCCACCA
rnacentral:tmRNA from 1 species